AGGGAAAGAGGGGGGGAGGAAGAACACAGGCAAGUCGAACGGAAGCACAGUAAGAGUUUGCCCUUGCGGGUGGCGGGUGGCGGACGGGUGAGGAAUACAUCGGAUACUAAUAUUUCGUGGGGAAUAACGGAGGAAAAGUUACGAUAACACCGAAUAUGAUCUACGGGUGAAAGCAGAGGAUCUUCGGACUCUGCGCGACUGAAUGAGCCGGUGUCGGAUUAGCUAGUUGGCGAGGUAAAGGCCCACCAAGGCGACGAUCCGUAGCUGAUCUGAGAGGAUGAUCGGCCACACUGGAACUGAGACACGGUCCAGACUCCUACGGGAGGCAGCAGUGGGGAAUAUUGGGCAAUGGGCGCAAGCCUGAUCCAGCCAUGCCGCGUGGGUGAAGAAGGCCUUCGGAUUGUAAAGCCCUUUUAUUGGGGAAGAAAAGCUGCAGAUUAAUACCCCGCUGUUCUGACGGUACCCAAUGAAUAAGCACCGGCUAACUUCGUG
rnacentral:rRNA from 1 species